GCUAAGGUAGCAUAAUCAUUUGUUUUUUAAUUGAAGACUGGUAUGAAUGGUUCAACUUGAUUAUUUGUUUGUAAAGUUUAAUAGAAAUUUAAAGUCAAGGUAAUAAUUCUUUGGUUUUUUAGGGGACGAUAAGACCCUAAAAGCUUAAUAAAUAUAUUUGUUAAUAGUUAUAUAAAGUAGUUUAUUUUACUGGGGUGGUAAAAGUUAAUUUGCUAUUAAGUUUUUAUAAGAUCCCUUAUAUAAGGAAGAAUUGGAAAAGUUACUUUAGGGUUAA
rnacentral:rRNA from 1 species